GGCCCGGUCGUCUAUCGGUUAGGACACGACUCUUUCAAGGUCGGAAGCGCGGUUCGACUCCGCGUCGGGCUA
rnacentral:tRNA from 1 species